rnacentral:rRNA from 1 species
GACGAACGCUGGCGGCAUGCCUAAUACAUGCAAGUCGAGCGAACAGAUGAAGUGCUUGCACUUCUGACGUUAGCGGCGAACGGGUGAGUAACACGUAAGGAAUCUACCUAUAAGCGGGGGAUAACAUUCGGAAACGGGUGCUAAUACCGCAUAAUAUCUUCUUCCGCAUGGAAGAAGAUUGAAAGACGGCUCUGCUGUCACUUAUAGAUGACCUUGCGGUGCAUUAGUUAGUUGGUGGGGUAAUGGCCUACCAAGACGAUGAUGCAUAGCCGACCUGAGAGGGUGAUCGGCCACAUUGGGACUGAGACACGGCCCAAACUCCUACGGGAGGCAGCAGUAGGGAAUCUUCCGCAAUGGGCGAAAGCCUGACGGAGCAAUGCCGCGUGAGUGAAGAAGGCCUUCGGGUCGUAAAACUCUGUUAUAAGAGAAGAACAAAUUGUAGAGUAACUGCUACAGUCUUGA